CUUUGAUUUUGAGAUUCGGUUUGGUUGUGUUUUGGUUUGAGCUGUGGUUACAAAUCUGUGAUAUUUGAUUCGGUUAUCAUAUUAAUUGAGAACAAUAUCGCAGUUUUCUGUCCAGGCUUAACAGAUGGCUCACUGGGAGACAUGUUUUACUUUCAUUCUUUCCGCAGUCUAGGUCUGAUCGUUGAUGUAGUGCAAGAUAUUAGGGCCAUGAACGGCGAAGCUGUCCAUGCAAAUCCAAGGAAGACUGGAACGAUCAUUCUCGGAGGGGG